rnacentral:misc_RNA from 1 species
AAGUCGUAACAAGGUUUCCGUAGGUGAACCUGCGGAAGGAUCAUUACCCAGGAGAUACCUUUAUGGUAUAGCCCAUCCGUGUCUAUAUACUCUUGUUGCUUUGGCAGGCCGUGCCUUAAACGCCUGUGGGCUUCUGCCUGCAUGUGCUUGCCAGAGGACCAAACUCUGAAUUUUAGUGAUGUCUGAGUACUAUAUAAUAGUUAAAACUUUCAACAACGGAUCUCUUGGUUCUG